rnacentral:rRNA from 1 species
AGUGAACGCUGGCGGUAGGCCUAACACAUGCAAGUCGAACGGCAGCACAGGGGAGCUUGCUCUCUGGGUGGCGAGUGGCGGACGGGUGAGGAAUACAUCGGAAUCUACUUUUUCGUGGGGGAUAACGUAGGGAAACUUACGCUAAUACCGCAUACGACCUACGGGUGAAAGCAGGGGACCUUCGGGCCUUGCGCGAUUGAAUGAGCCGAUGUCGGAUUAGCUAGUUGGCGGGGUAAAGGCCCACCAAGGCGACGAUCCGUAGCUGGUCUGAGAGGAUGAUCGGCCACACUGGAACUGAGACACGGUCCAGACUCCUACGGGAGGCAGCAGUGGGGAAUAUUGGACAAUGGGCGCAAGCCUGAUCCAGCCAUACCGCGUGGGUGAAGAAGGCCUUCGGGUUGUAAAGCCCUUUUGUUGGGAAAGAAAUCCAGCUGGCUAAUACCCGGUUGGGAUGACGGUACCCAAAGAAUAAGCACCGGCUAACUUCGUGCCAGCCGCCGCGGUAA